rnacentral:rRNA from 1 species
UACGAAGGGGGCUAGCGUUGUUCGGAAUUACUGGGCGUAAAGCGCACGUAGGCGGAUUGUUAAGUCAGGGGUGAAAUCCCGGGGCUCAACCCCGGAACUGCCUUUGAUACUGGGUAUCUCGAGUCCGAGAGAGGUGAGUGGAAUUCCGAGUGUAGAGGUGAAAUUCGUAGAUAUUCGGAGGAACACCAGUGGCGAAGGCGGCUCACUGGUCCGGUACUGACGCUGAGGUGCGAAAGCGUGGGGAGCAAACAGG